rnacentral:rRNA from 1 species
UGGGGAAUAUUGGACAAUGGACCGAGAGUCUGAUCCAGCAAUUCUGUGUGCACGAUGAAGUUUUUCGGAAUGUAAAGUGCUUUCAGUUGGGAAGAAAGAAAUGACGGUACCAACAGAAGAAGUGACGGCUAAAUACGUGCCAGCAGCCGCGGUAAUACGUAUGUCACGAGCGUUAUCCGGAUUUAUUGGGCGUAAAGUGCGUCUAGGUGGUUAUGUAAGUCUGGUGUGAAAAUGCAGGGCUCAACUCUGUAUUGCGUUGGAAACUGUGUAACUAGAGUACUGGAGAGGUAAGCGGAACUACAAGUGUAGAGGUGAAAUUCGUAGAUAUUUGUAGGAAUGCCGAUGGGGAAGCCAGCUUACUGGACAGAUACUGACGCUAAAGCGCGAAAGCGUGGGUAGCAAACAGG